rnacentral:rRNA from 1 species
UACGUAGGGUGCAAGCGUUGUCCGGAAUUAUUGGGCGUAAAGAGCUCGUAGGCGGUCUGUCACGUCGGCUGUGAAAACCCCGAGGCUCAACCUCGGGCCUGCAGUCGAUACGGGCAAACUAGAGUACUGCAGGGGAGACUGGAAUUCCUGGUGUAGCGGUGAAAUGCGCAGAUAUCAGGAGGAACACCGGUGGCGAAGGCGGGGUCUCCGGCUGGGACAG